CGGAUCGGAGUCUGCAACCCGACUCCGUGAAGCUGGAUUCGCUAGUAAUCGCGCAUCAGCCAUGGCGCGGUGAAUACGUUCCCGGGCCUUGUACACACCGCCCGUCAAGCCAUGGAAGCCGGGGGCGCUUGAAGUGCGUUGCCGCAAGGCGCGCCCUAGAGCGAAACCGGUGACUGGGGCUAAGUCGUAACAAGGUAGC
rnacentral:rRNA from 1 species